AGUCAAAUAUUAGUAAGUAUUGUGUUUUGAAAGCACUUAAAAGUGGUUAAAUUCCCCUAUUGACUU
rnacentral:tRNA from 1 species